rnacentral:lncRNA from 1 species
CCAACUCCUUGCUCUUACUACUCAUCUGCGCCCCACAUGCUGCUGGCUCUCAGCACUGGCUUCUCUGCACCGCCUGAUGAUGGUGAUGAUAAUCAUCCUCGUCAUCAUCAUUAUCCCCAGCACCAGCCUCCCUUCAAUCAAGUGCUUGCUGCAAAUUCAUCAGAUAAUGGAAAGAAGAGAUCAAGAACAAAGUUUACACAAGAGCAGAAAGAAAAAAUGUUAUCUUUUGCCGAAAGGCUAGGCUGGAAGAUGAACAGAGCUGAAGAGAAAUUGACCCAAGAUUUCUGCAGUGAAGUUGGUGUUAGCAGACGCGUGUUCAAAGUCUGGAUGCAUAACAACAAGAACGCUUCCGGGAGAAAAGAUCAGAGGAGUAUCAAUAACAAGAACAUUAAUGACAUUGUCAAUGGUUGCAGCAGGGUUAGUUUUGACGUCAAUGGCAACUGCAAAAACCACAAUGACGGAAAUGGAAACGGUAGUGUUGCUGUGGCUCCUAAAUGUGAAGAGUAAAUUAAAUUAAUGAACAAGUUGCUAGCUUUGACUGGAAAUGGAAGAUGUUUUACCUUUUUUCCUUUCUUGAUUUUGAUGUGGGUGAAGAAGAGAAUAGAUGAUAUCGCAAUUAUCAUUGUCAAUUUUAACUUAAUUAUAUGCUAAUUAGUCUUAAUUAUAUCCUUCAUCUUCUACAUUAGAUUUAGGGUUUUGUCUCGCUU